GACUACCAGGGUAUCUAAGCCCGUUCGCUCCCCUGGCUUUCGCGCCUCAGCGUCAGUUACAGCCCAGCAAGCCGCCUUCGCCACUGGUGUUCCUCCCGAUAUCUAUGCAUUUCACCGCUACACCGGGAAUUCCGCUUGCCUCUGCUGCACUCCAGUCCCUCAGUAUCAGGCGCAGCCCCACGGGUGAGCCGUGGUCUUUAACACCUGACUUAAGAAACCGCCUACGCGCCCUUUACGCCCAAUAAAUCCGAUUAACGCUUGCCUCCCCCGUAUUACCGCGGCUGCUGGCACGGAAUUAGCCGAGGCUUCUUCUCCAGGUACCGUCAAACGAUCGGGGUAUUAUCCCAAACGCCCUUCUUCCCUGUCGAAAGCAGUUUACAACCCGAAGGCCUUCAUCCUGCACGCGGCGUCGCUCGGUCAGGGUUUCCCCCAUUGCCGAAGCUUCUCGACUGCAGCCCCCCGUAGG
rnacentral:rRNA from 1 species